rnacentral:rRNA from 1 species
GACGAACGCUGGCGGCGUGCUUAACACAUGCAAGUCGAACGGAAAGGCCCUGCUUUUGUGGGGUGCUCGAGUGGCGAACGGGUGAGUAACACGUGAGUAACCUGCCCUUGACUUUGGGAUAACUUCAGGAAACUGGGGCUAAUACCGGAUAGGAGCUCCUGCUGAAUGGUGGGGGUUGGAAAGUUUCGGCGGUUGGGGAUGGACUCGCGGCUUAUCAGCUUGUUGGUGGGGUAGUGGCUUACCAAGGCUUUGACGGGUAGCCGGCCUGAGAGGGUGACCGGCCACAUUGGGACUGAGAUACGGCCCAGCCUCCUACGGGAGGCAGCAGUGGGGAAUAUUGCACAAUGGGCGGAAGCCUGAUGCAGCAACGCCGCGUGCGGGAUGACGGCCUUCGGGUUGUAAACCGCUUUCGCCUGUGACGAAGCGUGAGUGACGGUAAUGGGUAAAGAAGCACCGGCUAACUACGUG